rnacentral:lncRNA from 1 species
UCAAAUAUACUGUUAUAUUAUAUAGUUUCUUGAUUGCCAACAUACUAAUUAGAUCAAAUACAUUUUGUUAAACUGUAUAGUUUCCUGAAUGUAUCUUUUUUUAAAAUUGCAAGUCCCUUGAAAGGUACAAAUCUCAAUAUCAUUAUAAUAAGAUCAAAUACAUUUUGUUAAAUUACAUACUUUCUUGUAUUUUUAUUUGAAUUGGGGUUGUAAUUUUUUGGAAAAAUAUCGUAAUAUGGAGUAAUU